rnacentral:rRNA from 1 species
UACGUAGGGGCCGAGCGUUGUCCGGAGUUAUUGGGCGUAAAGCGCGCGCAGGCGGCCUCGCGCGCCCGACGUGAAAGCCCCCGGCUUAACCGGGGAGGGUCGUUGGGGACGGCGGGGCUUGAGGGCGGGAGAGGUCGGUGGAAUUCCCGGUGUAGUGGUGAAAUGCGUAGAGAUCGGGAGGAACACCUGUGGCGAAGGCGGCCGACUGGGCCGACCCUGACGCUGAGGCGCGAAGGCGUGGGGAGCGAACGGGG